rnacentral:pre_miRNA from 1 species
CUUGUAAGGACAUGCUUCCUUAUAUCCCCAUAUUAAUACACCACUUAUGGAAUGUAAGGAAGUGUGUGGUUACGAG